rnacentral:rRNA from 1 species
GACGAACGCUGGCGGCGUGCUUAACACAUGCCAGUCGUACGGUAAGGCCCUUUCGGGGGUACACGAGUGGCGAACGGGUGAGUAACACGUGAGUAACCUGCCCACAACUUUGGGAUAACGCUAGGAAACUGGUGCUAAUACUGGAUAUGUGCUCCUGCUGCAUGGUGGGGGUUGGAAAGCUCCGGCGGUUGUGGAUGGACUCGCGGCCUAUCAGCUUGUUGGUGGGGUAGUGGCCUACCAAGGCGGCGACGGGUAGCCGGCCUGAGAGGGUGACCGGCCACAUUGGGACUGGGAUACGGCCCAGACUCCUACGGGAGGCAGCAGUGGGGAAUAUUGCACAAUGGGCGCAAGCCUGAUGCAGCAACGCCGCGUGCGGGAUGACGGCCUUCGGGUUGUAAACCGCUUUCAGCAGGGACGAAGCUUUUUGUGACGGUACCUGCAGAAGAAGCACCGGCUAACUACGUG